UACGUAGGGGGCAAGCGUUGUCCGGAUUUAUUGGGCGUAAAGAGCGUGUAGGCGGCCGCACAGGUCCGUUGUGAAAACUGGAGGCUUAACCUCCAGACGUCGUUGGAAACCGUGCGGCUAGAGUCCGGAAGAGGAGAAUGGAAUUCCUGGUGUAGCGGUGAAAUGCGCAGAUAUCAGGAAGAACACCCGUGGCUAAGGCGGUUCUCUGGGACGGUACUGACGCUGAGACGCGAAAGCGUGGGGAGCGAACAGG
rnacentral:rRNA from 1 species